AAUAGCCAAUAGACAGGGAAUAACUAAUUCUAGGACUGAGCUGGAGUGCUUAGGAAGAGACACCCCAUACCUGCCAUCCAGGUCAAAUUCUGGUGCCAAGAUGGUGGAAUUUGCUGGAAAUUCACCCUCUGCAGUACCAAAGGAAGCUGUUCAAAGGGUUUCACACUGGAGGUGCUUUGCUUCAAAAUCAUCUAAGAGAUACACAACUACCUGGAGGUGAAUAAGCAGGUCUGUCAGUUGUGGUUACAGCAGGAUGGAGUGAUUGGAAGGAAUAAGAAUAUUGUCUGUUGUUUGUCUUCAGCAAACUGCCAUGAAUAAGAAACCAGCACAGGUAAGAACUGGCUUGUUUUCAAACAGUUAAUCAGAUGAAAUAGAGACUUCACUGCUCAAGUCUUGGUGAUUGGCAAGGAUGAGUGCUGUUAGACUCCAAUAAUAAACAAUAAGACCAGAAUUGUCUAAAUACGUCAGGGACUGUGUGUAUAUGCAUUUUAAUAAAAUGGUUUUGAGCAACCAAGUCCAGUAAAACUUCUCAGUUGAGCAAAGCAUUUCAGCCAUGAGUCAAGAUGAAAUAA